rnacentral:piRNA from 1 species
UAAUCAGUCAUCUCACAGUUUGCCAGAUA